GGGAGCGUAGCUCAAUUGGCAGAGCAAUGGACUCUUAAUCCAUAGGUUGUGGGUUCGAUUCCCUCCGCUCUCAAAG
rnacentral:tRNA from 1 species